AGCGAACGCUGGCGGCAGGCCUAACACAUGCAAGUCGAACGAACUCUUCGGAGUUAGUGGCGGACGGGUGAGUCACACGUGGGAACGUGCCUUUUGGCUCGGAAUUACUCAGGGUAACUUGUGCUAAUACCGAAUGAGCCCCUCGGGGGAAAGAUUUAUCGCCAUUAUAGCGGCCCGCGAUCGUUUAGCUUGUGGGUGAGGUAACGGCCCACCACGGCGACGCUCAGUAGCUGGUCUGAGAGGAUCACCAGCCACACUGGGACGGAGACGCGGCCCGGACUCUUACGGGAGGCAGCAGUGGGGAAUCUAGCGCAAUGGGCGAAAUCCAGACGCAGCCAGGCUGCGAGAAUGAUGAAGGUGUUAGGAUUGUAAAACUCUUUCACCGGGGACGAUAAUGACGGUACCCAGAGAAGAAGCACCGGCUAACUUCGUG
rnacentral:rRNA from 1 species